rnacentral:rRNA from 1 species
UGGCUUAGAGUUUGAUCCUNGGCUCAGAUUGAACGCUNGGCGGCAUGCCUAACACAUGCAAGUCGAACGGGGUGUAGCAAUACACCUNAGUGGCGGACGGGUGAGGAAUACAUAGGAAUUUGCCCUUAAGUGGGGGAUAGUCCGGGGGAAACUCGGUUUAAUACCGCAUGAUCUCUUAAGAAAAAAACCUAGGUUGAAAAAUCUGGCCCCUUCAAAAAGGACCCUGCUCCCAAUUACCAAGUUGGAAGGGGAAAAACCCUCCCCAAGGGAAAAAAUCGGUACCUGGGUCUAAAAAGGAUUAUCCCCCCACCCUUGGGAAUGAAAAACGCGCCCAAAAUCCCUUCGGGGAGGGCCACCCGGGGGAAAUUUUGCAAAAAGGGGGGGCCCCCCUUUUUCUCCAAAUCCCCGGGGGGGAAAAAAAACCCCCUCCGGUGUAAAAACCCUUUUUGUGGGGGGAGAGGUGUGUUUUUUAAAGAAAUUUUUUUUUUGGGGGCCGCCGAAAAAAAAACCCCGGUUUUUUUUUUUCCCACCACCCCGCGGAGAAAAAAGGGAGGCGGGGGCUGUUUACUUAAAUAUAUAUCGGCGGGCGGGAGGGGGCGGCCCUAGUGUUUUUUUUCAGAAGCGAAAAGAAAAGGCCGGGGCGCUUGCCGAGAACACGCCCAUUCUCUCGGGGAGGUGGGAACAUAAGAG